rnacentral:rRNA from 1 species
GAUCCUGGCUCAGGACGAACGCUGGCGGCGUGCCUAAUACAUGCAAGUCGAACGCUUCUUUCCUCCCGAGUGCUUGCACUCAAUUGGAAAGAGGAGUGGCGGACGGGUGAGUAACACGUGGGUAACCUACCCAUCAGAGGGGGAUAACACUUGGAAACAGGUGCUAAUACCGCAUAACAGUUUAUGCCGCAUGGCAUAAGAGUGAAAGGCGCUUUCGGGUGUCGCUGAUGGAUGGACCCGCGGUGCAUUAGCUAGUUGGUGAGGUAACGGCUCACCAAGGCCACGAUGCAUAGCCGACCUGAGAGGGUGAUCGGCCACACUGGGACUGAGACACGGCCCAGACUCCUACGGGAGGCAGCAGUAGGGAAUCUUCGGCAAUGGACGAAAGUCUGACCGAGCAACGCCGCGUGAGUGAAGAAGGUUUUCGGAUCGUAAAACUCUGUUGUUAGAGAAGAACAAGGACGUUAGUAACUGAACGUCCCCUGACGGUAUCUAACCAGGAAGAACAAGGACGUUAGUAACUGAACGUCCCCUGACGGUAUCUAACCAG